CCUUCGGUAGCUCAGUUGGUAGAGCGGUGGACUGUAGAUCCAUAGGUCCUGUGUUCAACUCACAGUCGAAGGA